GAUCCUGGCUCAGGAUGAACGCUGGCGGCGUGCUUAACACAUGCAAGUCGAACGAAGCACUUAAGAUUGAUUCUUCGGAUGACGUCUUUUGUGACUUAGUGGCGGACGGGUGAGUAACGNGUGGGUAACCUGCCUCACACAGGGGGAUAACAGUUAGAAAUGACUGCUAAUACCGCAUAACCCGAUAGGAUCGCAUGAUCCAGACGGAAAAAGAUUUAUCGGUGUGAGAUGGACCCGCGU
rnacentral:rRNA from 1 species